rnacentral:rRNA from 1 species
UACAGAGGAUGCAAGCGUUAUCCGGAAUGAUUGGGCGUAAAGCGUCUGUAGGUGGCUUUUUAAGUCCGCCGUCAAAUCCCAGGGCUCAACUCUGGACAGGCGGUGGAAACUACCAAGCUGGAGUACGGUAGGGGCAGAGGGAAUUUCCGGUGGAGCGGUGAAAUGCGUAGAGAUCAGGAGGAACACCGAUGGCGAAGGCAGGUCUCUGGGCCAUAACUGACGCUGAGACACGAAAGCUAGGGGAGCAAACAGG